CCUACGGGUGGCAGCAGUGAGGAAUAUUGGUCAAUGGGCGGAAGCCUGAACCAGCCAAGUAGCGUGCAGGAUGACGGCCCUACGGGUUGUAAACUGCUUUUAUACGGGAAUAACGCGCCUUACGUGUAGGGCUUUGCAUGUACCGUAUGACUAAGGACAGGCUAAUUCCUUGCCAGCAGCCGCGGUAAUACGGAAGGGCCGGGCUUUAUCCGGAUUUAUUGGGUUUAAAGGGAGCGGAGGCCGCAUUUACAGCGUGCUUUGAAAUGUCCGGGCUCAACCCGGGUCUUGCAUCGCGAACUGGCGUGCUGGAGUCCGCGGAAAGCAGGCGGAAUUCGUCGUGUAGCGGUGAAAUGCUUAGAUAUGACGAAGAACCCCGAUUGCGAAGGCAGCUUGCUGCAGCGGAACUGACGCUGAUGCUCGAAAGCGCGGGUAUCGAACAGGAUUAGAUACCCCAGUAGUC
rnacentral:rRNA from 1 species